GGUGGAGUUGUUGUGAAAAUUGGUCUUUGGGGCUGGGCUUGUUGUCAUACCUUGGAGAGGCUGAAAGAGGGAUUUGGGGGCCAGGCCCGAGUUUGUAAGUGUCCUUGGUGCAGGACCUGGGGGUUGGGCCCUUUGAAACUUGGAGCCAGGCCUUUGAUUUCUACAAGGGCUGGAGUUGGCCUAGGCCUAGGUCUUCUUGGAUCCGGAGGUUGCUGGACCCUUGGUGAGAACGGAUUUUGUGAGCCCCCAUUUGCCGUUUGGCAAGGUACAAGGGAUUUGGGAGGGAAGGUGAAAGGGUGCUAAGGUUUCUUGUGUACCCUUGGGACUUUAUAAAUAGGAGCUUAGGGUUAUGAAGGUGAUCAUACCUGAGUUUUGAGAAAAAAUUGCCAGAAAGUGAGAAGGAGAAAAGAGAUUUUUGGCUAGAUUUUGGUGAUGGUGCUCGUGGUCAAGGUGAUAUCCGACGACUUUUCGUGGUGGUGUAAACAAGGUUUAGUGAAGUAGGGGCCGAUCUCCAAGGAGCAAGAAGAGGAAGUGGAGAAGGUGAGGUCACUAUUGUCGGAGACCGAGCGCGAGUGCAAAAACCUAGUCACCCAAAAGAAUUUGUUUGAGUCUGCCUUUUUGCAAGGGAGUAUCAUAAAGGGAAGCACGAAAGUGGCUGUGGACCUGGAUGACGUCGAGAUUCAGAAACAGCUUAAAGAGUCUCGGGCGCAGAUGGCUGGGAAGGGGGUGGCCAAGCAAGCGACUGGGAAGCGUCCAAGAGAUGAUGAUAAAGGCCUGGUUGCCGAUGUGCUGGGAAAGAAGAAAGCGCUGGAGGAGGCUCACCGGAGUAUGAUGGGAACAGGGCUGAGGCUUCCUCCCUUUAACCUGCAGGCGCCGCCAAAGCUCCCCUUUGGUAUAGAGGACGUUUAUGCCGAGGGGGUGGAGAAGAUGGACUUCACCAGGCUGCGUCGGCAGAAGAAUGAGGUAAACUUGGCCAUGCAUCGGCAGGAGGUUCCCUGGUGAACGUCUUCUUGGAAGGUGUGAAGUGUGACCCAGAGGUUCUGGCGAGGACGCCAGCCACUUCCUAUGCAAAUCGAGCCCAGAAGACGUUUCUUACCCAUGCAUAUAUAAGUUGUCUUGCUUUAUAAAUUUGUUCUUAUCAUUCUAGUUUGUCUUUUACUGAUGAUGCCUUGUGUUGUAGGCCUAUGACGAGAUGUACGUGAACAUGGCCAAGGCAGAUAAGGAGAUCCAGAAGUUGAAGAGGCACAACGAGAUUGCUAAGGACAAGAUAGCAGAGGCGUAGGAUGCCAUUUGAGAGAAGAACGCCCUGCUGUUGCAGAAGGCGGCGCUAGCCAGAGAGGUGGAGGAGCUGAAGCAGUCGAAGGCGGAGGAGGUGGCUGCUGCCCAGGCUAAAGUGGAGCAGAAAAAGGCCGAAGAGAUAGGUGUUACCCGAGCCGAAGUGAUCAAGUCAUUUCGGGGUUCAGAGGAGCUGAGGAGCUACAUCAUGGAUCAGAUGGUGGCUAUGCAGCUGCGUUGGGAGCAGAGGUUGGCCAGGUUCAACCCUUCGAUGGAGAUUUACUUUGAUACAAGUGGCGAGCCUCCUUCAUCUAGUCCUAGCAACAAUGCUGCUCUAGAGCCAGAGCUAGAGCCAGAGCCAGCGACCACGGAUGCCCCCUCUACCGAAUCUUGAAGGCUUAGCCUUCCUUUAUGUAUUCUAGCUAUUUAUUUGAAACACCUGGAUGUUUAUUUCUGCAUUGUAAGAACAUUUUGCCUUGCCUGGGGCAAGGUUACUUUGAUUUGCUAUG